AAGUCAUAACAAGGUUUCUGUAGGUGAACCUGCAGAAGGAUCAUUAGUAAAAGCAUAGGGGGUUUGCUCACUUGCUGGGCCCCCCAAUCCUCUUCACCAUUGUAUCCAAACACCUGUGAACCGUUGGAGUGGUGGUUGUAAACCACCGCUCUGACAACCUAUUUUCAAAAUAUAACUCUGAGUAUAUGAAUGUAGUUGUACAAUCUUGCUCUUUUGGGGGCAGAAAUAAUAUACAACUUUCGACAACGGAUCUCUUGGUUCUCC
rnacentral:misc_RNA from 1 species